rnacentral:rRNA from 1 species
AUUGAACGCUGGCGGCAGGCUUAACACAUGCAAGUCGAGCGGGGAAAGGUAGCUUGCUACCUGACCUAGCGGCGGACGGGUGAGUAAUGCUUAGGAAUCUGCCUAUUAGUGGGGGACAACAUUCCGAAAGGAAUGCUAAUACCGCCUACGCCCUACGGGGGAAAGCAGGGGAUCUUCGGACCUUGCGCUAAUAGAUGAGCCUAAGUCAGAUUAGCUAGUUGGUGGGGUAAAGGCCUACCAAGGCGACGAUCUGAAGCGGGUCUGAGAGGAUGGUCCGCCACACUGGGACUGAGACACGGCCCAGACUCCUACGGGAGGCAGCAGUGGGGAAUAUUAGACAAUGGGCGCAAGCCUGAUCCAGCCAUGCCGCGUGUGUGAAGAAGGCCUUUUGGUUGUAAAGCACUUUAAGCGAGGAGGAGGCUACUUAGAUUAAUACUCUAGGAUAGUGGACGUUACUCGCAGAAUAAGCACCGGCUAACUCUGUGCCAGCAGCCGCCGUAA